rnacentral:rRNA from 1 species
GACGAACGCUGGCGGCGUGCUUCAUACAUGCAAGUCGAACGAGAAGCUGACUUCGGUCAGUGGAAAGUGGCGGACGGGUGAGUAAUAUGUAGGAAAUCUGCCUUUAGGAGGGGGACAACAGAGGGAAACUUCUGCUAAUACCCCAUAUGAGCGUAGCUGAAAUGCUAUUCUUGAAAACUCCGGUGCCUAAAGAUGAGCCUGCAUCUGAUUAGCUAGUUGGUAGUGUAAUGGACUACCAAGGCGACGAUCAGUAGCUGGUUUGAGAGGAUGAUCAGCCACAAUGGGACUGAGACACGGCACAUACUCCUACGGGAGGCAGCAGUAGGGAAGUUUGCGCAAUGGGCGAAAGCCUGACGAAGCAACGCCGCGUGAACGAUUAAGCCCUUCGGGGUGUAAAGUUCUGUCAGUGGGGACGAAACUUGACGGUACCCACAGAGGAAGCACCGGCUAACUCCGUG